rnacentral:rRNA from 1 species
GAUGAACGCUGGCGGCGUGCCUAAUACAUGCAAGUCGAGCGAACAGACCAGGAGCUUGCUCCUCUGACGUUAUCGGCGGACGGGUGAGUAACACGUGGAUAACCUACCUAUAAGACUGGGAUAACUUCGGGAAACCGGCGCUAAUACCGGAUAAUAUAUUGAACCGCAUGGUUCAAUAGUGAAAGACGGUUUUGCUGUCACUUAUAGACGGAUACGCGCCGCAUUAGCUAGUUGGUAAGGUAACGGCUUACCAAGGCUACGAUGCGUAGCCGACCUGAGAGGGUGGUCGGCCACACGGGAACUGAGACAGGGUCCAGACUCCGGCGGGAGGCAGCAGUAGGGAAUCUUCCGCGAUGGGCGAGAGCGUGACGUAACAACGCCGCGGGAGUGAUGAAGGUCUUCGGAUCGGAAAACGAUGUUAUUAGGGAAGAACAAAUGUGUAAGUAACUGUGCACGUCUUGACGGUACCUAAACAGAAAGCCACGGCUAACUACGUG